rnacentral:rRNA from 1 species
UACAGAGGGUGCGAGCGUUAAUCGGAAUUAUUGGGCGUAAAGGGAGCGUAGGCGGAUGUGCAAGUGAUAGGUGAAAUACCCGGGCUUAACCUGGGGGAGGUCCUAGUCAGACUGCACGUCUAGAGUAUGGUAGAGGAAGGUGGAAUUCCUGGUGUAGCGGUGAAAUGCGUAGAUAUCAGGAGGAACAGCCGGUGGCGAAGGCGGAUCUCUGGGCCGAUACUGACGCUGGAGGAGCGAAAGCGUGGGGAGCGAACAGG